rnacentral:lncRNA from 1 species
CCUCCAUUAUUUAUGGAGUAAUAAGAGGAGACCGAGUACACCCCAUUGUGGGUGAGCUUCCACAGUGAUGCAUUAACUCACAGGAUGGCAAGACAUGAGAAAGAGUGUUGUGAAGGUAGUCCAAUUAAUUAGAUUCUUCUAGAGAUAAAGGCUCGCAAACAUAGACCCUCCAAUCAAGUAUCCUCCAAUUCUAAUGAGAUGCAAUCG